GGAUGUGAGGGUGAUCUGGCUGCGACAUCUGUCACCCCACUGAUCGCCAGGGUUGAUUCGGCUGAUCUGGCUGGCUAGGCGGGUGUCCCCUUCCUCUCUCACUGUUCCCUGUGUGUUCCUCCCAAAUUGCACGCUUGGUAGAAGAGGAUGGCCUUCCCAAAUAGAGACGACCGGUCUUAGUUCAAGGGUAUAUGAGUAGCUGCGCUCCCCUGCUAGAACCUCCAAACAAGCUGUCAAAAUGCAGAGUCAGAAAGGUUGAAAAGCCAGUCAGGAAUAUACUAUUUUGGGAUUGAAGGAGGUGUGGACAUA
ensembl:misc_RNA 7SK 7SK RNA